rnacentral:rRNA from 1 species
UACAGAGGUCUCAAGCGUUGUUCGGAUUCAUUGGGCGUAAAGGGUGCGUAGGUGGCGCUGUAAGUCGGGUGUGAAAUUUCGGAGCUUAACUCCGAAACUGCAUUCGAUACUGCGGUGCUUGAGGACUGGAGAGGAGACUGGAAUUCAUGGUUUAGCAGUGAAAUGCGUAGAGAUCAUGAGGAAGACCAGUGGCGAAGGCGGGUCUCUGGACAGUUCCUGACACUGAGGCACGAAGGCCAGGGGAGCAAACGGG